UAUAUAAUAUGUGGCUGUACUGAGAGUGAGUAAGGUACUGUAUAUAAUAUGUGGCUGUACUGAGAGUGAGUAAGGUACUGUAUAUAAUAUAUGGCUGUACUGAGAGUGAGUAAGGUACUGUAUAUAAUAUGUGGCUGUACUGAGAGUGAGUAAGGUACUGUAUAUAAUAUGUGGCUGUACUGAGAGUGAGUAAGGUACUGUAUAUAAUAUGUGGCUGUACUGAGAGUGAGUAAGGUACUGUAUAUAAUAUGUGGCUGUACUGAGAGUGAGUAAGGUACUGUAUAUAAUAUGUGGCUGUACUGAGAGUGAGUAAGGUACUGUAUAUAAUAUGUGGCUGUACUGAGAGUGAGUAAGGUACUGUAUAUAAUAUGUGGCUGUACUGAGAGUGAGUAAGGUACUGUAUAUAAUAUGUGGCUGUACUGAGAGUGAGUAAGGUACUGUAUAUAAUAUAUGGCUGUACUGAGAGUGAGUAAGGUACUGUAUAUAAUAUGUGGCUGUACUGAGAGUGAGUAAGGUACUGUAUAUAAUAUGUGGCUGUACUGAGAGUGAGUAAGGUACUGUAUAUAAUAUGUGGCUGUACUGAGAGUGAGUAAGGUACUGUAUAUAAUAUGUGGCUGUACUGAGAGUGAGUAAGGUACUGUAUAUAAUAUGUGGCUGUACUGAGAGUGAGUAAGGUACUGUAUAUAAUAUGUGGCUGUACUGAGAGUGAGUAAGGUACUGUAUAUAAUAUGUGGCUGUACUGAGAGUGAGUAAGGUACUGUAUAUAAUAUGUGGCUGUACUGAGAGUGAGUAAGGUACUGUAUAUAAUAUGUGGCUGUACUGAGAGUGAGUAAGGUACUGUAUAUAAUAUGUGGCUGUACUGAGAGUGAGUAAGGUACUGUAUAUAAUAUGUGGCUGUACUGAGAGUGAGUAAGGUAC